GUUCCUAUCACAUAACACUGCAAAAAGCCAUGCCAUCAGCAAGCACUUCCUGCAUCAGCACGUGAGUCUCCAUGGGGAAUACGGCAUCGGCACAAUUAUCCUCUUGUUCCUCUUCUUCGGAAUUGAAAAACUGCAAACUGUUUGCUCUGCUUUUGGAACUCACCUGGCACUCACGACAGUUGCAGUACCCAAUCGGCAGGUUGCUAACCAUUGUUGGAAGAUUUGGGCCGUUCUGGUCAUUAGGCCCACUCUGUGCCAUAGCUUCAUCGUAAGUGGGCGGGCAGACACCAGCCAAAUGUGGUGUGUUGGUCUGAAGUCAGUAAUGCGAACAUUUGUAACAUUAUCAAAUAGUAAACCAUUUUAUCUGACCUCUUUGUCGUACGGAGGAGGAGGUGAACGAGGCAUCAAAGAAUGUAGCUGUGGCAAUGUGAAGGAUGCAUCGGAAACCUCCUCCGAAACGGACGAUUCAGGAGGGAAAUUCAGUCGCAAGCCAACCUGAUCUGGCGUCGAACUAGGGAUUGAAUCCGUUUUGUUGAGGCGGGAGUUUCGUGUCCGAUCCUCUGUCUCACUUCUCGUACGCCGAAAGAGCAUUCUACGCAUCCUACUACAUCUCGAAGUGCCAUCCGUUGUCGUAUUCCCAGACGGGCUUUCGCCUUCCAUUGAUCCUGGGUCCGUUCACAUUUACGUUCGUCGACUUGUUAAGUGUUUAAGUAGCUGACUACUCCGUACCUGUCGAUGAAGUCAUUACUUCAUCCAAUGAUGCCGCCUGCGUUAGAAGAAAUCGUUCGCGGAAACGGUUCUUCUUCUUUUCUUUUAAUUGUUGUUCGGCAGCUGCGGCCAUGAUUGUGUCCUUUUUAUGAUGGUUGCUACACCAACAACAAUUCGUGGGAUAUUGUAGUAAGUGGCCAGGGUUCCUCAGGAGUAGAGCGUUCGCUUUCCCAGCCUUUAUUUCAGCACUUCAAAUGCGACUGCUCAGGUGCUGUUCAGGAUCAACUAGAUCUGCGCAGAUUCUUCACCAAAAUCUGGGGGGACAAGAGAAGGAAGGAAGGAAGAGAGAGCGUGAGAGACGGAGAAAGAACUAGAGAGAAGACACCCAUCGAAAUAAUCAAUAUUGUGGUGAACGAGCUUACUGUUCGACGCCUCCGUGUAAACCAAAGCUAUGUGUACAUAAACUCAUGUUUUUUGGGGAGGGUUUUUCCCAUCUUUGUCCGGUACCAUAUGCACUAAAAAUUGUAUACUGCAAGUUGGUAAAGGCCAGAGGUAAUGAAACGCAGGAAAAUUACUAACUCGUUAGCGUUCCAUUUGGGCGAAAGAUUGAAAAUGCCUUUCAAUGCAAGCCAAUGUACAAGACUACAUGUUUAGUCAAGAGGUUAUUUUUUAUUCUUUUUUUAAGCAAAAAUAAUUUAUCGAUAUAUAUACGUACUAUAUGUAUAUGUAUAUAUCUUAUUUUUUUUUUAUUUAUUUUUUUUUUUAAAUUUACUUUGAAAGGUACGUAAAUCUUCAGUUGUAUCCCAAUUAACUCCCAUUUAACGUUCUCUUUUUGUGUAGGGUCAAUACUCACACAUGAACUUUAUGAAGAUGCCACCCAUUUCUAUAGUAAUGUAAGAGCCUAAUAAAGAACCGGGUGCUACAUAGUGCGUGCAAAAAAUAUGUGCCAAAUGGACUUUGGAUACAAAAGAUCAAGGAAACCCCAUAGAGGUGUAAGUAAUGAAAAAAAAAUCGAUAUUUUUCUUGCAAUCACGCCACUUAUGAUCGCCACAGAUCCAAUGUGAAUACCGUAACAUGACAUAGACUAAUAUUUAUUUAAAUCAUACUAAAUUCCAGCGUUAGAAAUCUUUAAUGAUUUCCUAGCUCUUUAUGAACCCAGAAUAACAUUCUGAUCGCCACAUUCGCUGAGAAAAUCAAUAAGUCAUUAUGCUACAAUUUGUGAACUUAACUGGUUGAGUGAAACAUUAGAGGAAAGAAGAAAUAACUUCAAAGAAUUCAUGAAAUGGAUUAGAGAUGAAAUAGUUCUUUUAUUUUUUACCUUCAGUUUGUACGUUUUAAGUUUCGUAGCAAUGAAUGCCGUCGUUGGCGUUGGCGUUGGAGUUUGUAACUGGCAGCUACCGAUUUGGAAUGAUACGCUGUAACAUAUCGUGUCAUCCAGUCCUGUUUUCCCUGUCGAUCGUGUUCUUCGCAGAAAAGAUGCGCAUGCGUUUAUAGUUGGUUUGUUUUGGAAUAAAUCUUGUUACAAAGAUUAACCAGAUAACACCCCAAGAAAUGGUAUAGAAUAGAAACAGGCAUUUUAUCCGCACAUUUUAUUAACACAAUUCCUUGUGUUAAUAAACUGAUUAACAAAGAUUUCAAAAAUUUUCCGAUAGGAAUAGGGUGUGAUCACUUUUUUUCUUCAUCUUAUCCGAUUUAGAAAAUUCUGUUGAUCAUUGCUGUAUUUUUGUUUUAUUUAAAACUUAUUUUUACGUCACUCUUCGGGAGUGAAACGUAAAAUUUUUGAAAUUAGGUACCUCCUCUUCUUUUUCGCUAGGUUUUAGUUAGAGGUGCCAGUGGUCAAGAGAGAGAGAAAGAGGGUGGAUUUGGGGUGGCGAAUUUCAAGUUAGCCAUUUGGCAUCUGAGGCAAUUUGGCAAAUAAAUAAACACAGUUUUCUGUGCACACAUAAGCUAAAAAUAAGGAAAAGUCUAUUGCCCCUCAACUUUUUAUCUUGACUGAAUUUCCGCUAGAUGGCGAUACAGUACUUUUCAAAAAUAAUGGGCAAAAUUGAGGUAGUCAAAUAGUUCGUCUGCUUCGGAAAUAGUUUAUCUGCUUCAGGAGUGGGAAAGCACGUAAGUUUCUAAUUAAUCACGUAAGUUUAUAAUUUUUAGAAGAAAAUAUGGUUUGUAUAAUUUAACAUCUCGUUAAAGAAGUAAAAUCCAAUGUUUUUUCUACCGAUUCGGGUAGAAUAACAAGGGGAAAGUCAAGUGUUUGACCAUUAUGAUCUUGUGAUUCAUAAUUCUAAAGGCCUUACUUUUAUAUUGUCUAAUGUUUAACAAUGUUGGUAGUGAAACAAAACUUUGUUGUGGCUUUAUGAGGAACCAAGAUCCCUUUCCCAAAUAGAAAGAGACUUAACUUGACACAAACAUAUCUACUUAACACAUUGUGUUCUCAUACAAUUCAUUAUAGUAUAUUUUUUAAUCUUACUACAUGUUUCCCAGAUGUAGAUUGAUACUUGUAGGAUAUUGAAAGAGAUUGCACUUUUUUUUUUGCAAAUUUUUUGAACCUUUUCCUUGCAAAAACUCUUCAUCAGGCCCUUGUAGUUAUAUCAUAGUUGUCUAUCUUGUGGCAGCCAAUUGUGACACCUCCGUGGUUGACUGCAGUAGGUUGUAUUUGUAGUCUGUGAAAAGAAAAUUAAUACAAGCAGUAUGAAAAAACAAA